UGCAAGUCGAGCGGUUGACGGGAGCUUGCUCCCUGAUUCAGCGGCGGACGGGUGAGUAAUGCCUAGGAAUCUGCCUAUUAGUGGGGGACAACGUUUCGAAAGGAACGCUAAUACCGCAUACGUCCUACGGGAGAAAGCAGGGGACCUUCGGGCCUUGCGCUAAUAGAUGAGCCUAGGUCGGAUUAGCUAGUUGGUGGGGUAAAGGCUCACCAAGGCGACGAUCCGUAACUGGUCUGAGAGGAUGAUCAGUCACACUGGAACUGAGACACGGUCCAGACUCCUACGGGAGGCAGCAGUGGGGAAUAUUGGACAAUGGGCGAAAGCCUGAUCCAGCCAUGCCGCGUGUGUGAAGAAGGUCUUCGGAUUGUAAAGCACUUUAAGUUGGGAGGAAGGGUUGUAGAUUAAUACUCUGCAAUUUUGACGUUACCGACAGAAUAAGCACCGGCUAACUCUGUGCCAGCAGCCGCGGUAAUACAGAGGGUGCAAGCGUUAAUCGGAAUUACUGGGCGUAAAGCGCGCGUAGGUGGUUUGUUAAGUUGGAUGUGAAAGCCCCGGGCUCAACCUGGGAACUGCAUCCAAAACUGGCAAGCUAGAGUACGGUAGAGGGUGGUGGAAUUUCCUGUGUAGCGGUGAAAUGCGUAGAUAUAGGAAGGAACACCAGUGGCGAAGGCGACCACCUGGACUGAUACUGACACUGAGGUGCGAAAGCGUGGGGAGCAACAGGAUUAGAUACCCUGGUAGUCCACGCCGUAACGAUGUCAACUAGCCCGUUGGAAUCCUUUGAGAUUUUAGUGGCGCAGCUAACGCAUUUAAGUUUGACCGCCUGGGGAGUACGGCCGCAAGGUUAAACUCAAAUGAGUGACGGGGGCUCGCACAAGCGUGAAGCAUGUCUUAAUUCGAAGCACGCGAGACCUUACCUUGGCUUGACAUGCUGAAACCUUCGACUUGGAUUGAUGCUCAGCACUCGACAGGUCUGCAUGCCUGU
rnacentral:rRNA from 1 species